GAUCCGUUAGCUCAGGGGAGAGAGCGCCAGCCGGCGAAGCUGGAGGACCAAGGUUCGAAUCCUUGACGGAUCGCCC
rnacentral:tRNA from 1 species